AGCUCCAAGAGCAUAUAUUAAAGUUGUUGCAGUUAAAAAGCUCGUAGUUGGAUUUCUGGUACAACGCACCUGGCCCGCAGCCAUUAGGCUUGUGUGCGCCGGCGCGCGUUUGCCAUCCUUCUAGAAAACGGGUCUGCCAUUAACUUGGUGGGUUCGCGAUCUAGAUCAUUUACUUUGAAAAAAUUAGAGUGUUUAAAGCAAGCAAUUGCUAUGAAUACAUUAGCAUGGAAUAAUAAUCUAGGACUUCGGUUCUAUUUUGUUGGUUUCUAAAACUGAAGUAAUGAUUGAUAGGGACAGUUGGGGGUGCUAGUAUUGGCCGGCCAGAGGUGAAAUUCUUGGAUUCGGUCAAGACUAACUUAUGCGAAAGCAUUCACCAAGGAUGUCUUCU
rnacentral:rRNA from 1 species